CGAGAAAAAAACUGAUUCAAAUGUUCUCCUCAGAUAGUCACUUAACAAAGUCUUUGGCAUUUGCCCAGUACUGGGAGUGGUCAAAGUAGGUUCUUUACUUCACUCUUAACAUGAAAUCAAAAUAUUUUUGAAAUCAGUCCUUGGGGUCCGGAGAAAACCCGGUUCUAAUAUUCCACAUGGACAGUCGCUUUACAAAGCCUGUCUUAUUUACCCAGUAGUGGGAGUGAUUGAAAUAGGUUCCUUAAUUCACUUUUAACAUGAAAUUAAAAUAUUUUUGAAAUCGGUCAAAGGAGACCCGAGAAAAACCGAUUCAAAUGUUGUCCUUAGAUAGUCACUUAACAAAGUCUUUGGCAUUUGCCCAGUAGUGGGAGUGGUCAAAGUAGGUUCUUUACUUCACUCUUAACAUGAAAUCAAAAUAUUUUUGAAAUCAGUCCUUGGGGUCCGGAGAAAACCCGGUUCUAAUAUUCCACAUGAACAGUCGCUUUACAAAGCCUGACUUAUUUGCCCAGGAGUGGGAGUGAUUGAAGUAGGUUCCUUACUUCACUUUUAACAUGAAAUUAAAAUAUUUUUGAAAUCGGUCCCAGGGGUCCCGAGAAAAACCGUUUCAAAUGUUCUCCUUAGAUAGUCACUUAACAAAGUCUUUGGCAUUUGCCCAGUACUGGGAGUGGUCAAAAUAGGUUCUUUACUUCACUCUUAACAUGAAAUCCAAAUAUUUUUGAAAUCGGUCCCUGGGGUCCGGAGAAAAACCGGUUCUAAUAUUCCACAUGAACAGUCGCUUUACAAAGCCUGUCUUAUUUACCCAGUAGUGGGAGUGAUUGGAAUAGGUUCCUUACUUCACUUUUAACAUGAAAUUAAAAUAUUUUUGAAAUCGGUCAAAGGAGACCCGAGAAAAAAACUGAUUCAAAUGUUCUCCUCAGAUAGUCACUUAACAAAGUCUUUGGCAUUUGCCCAGUACUGGGAGUGGUCAAAGUAGGUUCUUUACUUCACUCUUAACAUGAAAUCAAAAUAUUUUUGAAAUCAGUCCUUGGGGUCCGGAGAAAACCCGGUUCUAAUAUUCCACAUGAACAGUCGCUUUACAAAGCCUGUCUUAUUUACCCAGUAGUGGGAGUGAUUGAAAUAGGUUCCUUACUUCACUUUUAACAUGAAAUUAAAAUAUUUUUGAAAUCAGUCAAAGGAGACCCGAGAAAAAAACUGAUUCAAAUGUUCUCCUCAGAUAGUCACUUAACAAAGCCUUUGGCAUUUGCCCAGUAGUGGCAGUGGUCAAAGUAGGUUCUUUACUUCACUCUUAACAUGAAAUUAAAAUAUUUUUGAAAUCGGUCAAAGGAGACCCGAGAAAAAAACUGAUUCAAAUGUUCUCCUCAGAUAGUCACUUAACAAAGUCUUUGGCAUUUGCCCAGUACUGGGAGUGGUCAAAGUAGGUUCUUUACUUCACUCUUAACAUGAAAUCAAAAUAUUUUUGAAAUCAGUCCUUGGGGUCCGGAGAAAACCCGGUUCUAAUAUUCCACAUGAACAGUCGCUUUACAAAGCCUGUCUUAUUUACCCAGUAGUGGGAGUGAUUGAAAUAGGUUCCUUAAUUCACUUUUAACAUGAAAUUAAAAUAUUUUUGAAAUCAGUCAAAGGAGACCCGAGAAAAAAACUGAUUCAAAUGUUCUCCUCAGAUAGUCACUUAACAAAGUCUUUGGCAUUUGCCCAGUACUGGCAGUGGUCAAAGUAGGUUCUUUACUUCACUCUUAACAUGAAAUUAAAAUAUUUUUGAAAUCGGUCAAAGGAGACCCGAGAAAAAAACUGAUUCAAAUGUUCUCCUCAGAUAGUCACUUAACAAAGUCUUUGGCAUUUGUCCAGUACUGGGAGUGGUCAAAGUAGGUUCUUUACUUCACUCUUAACAUGAAAUCAAAAUAUUUUUGAAAUCAGUCCUUGGGGUCCGGAGAAAACCCGGUUCUAAUAUUCCACAUGAACAGUCGCUUUACAAAGCCUGUCUUAUUUACCCAGUAGUGGGAGUGAUUGAAAUAGGUUCCUUAAUUCACUUUUAACAUGAAAUUAAAAUAUUUUUGAAAUCGGUCAAAGGAGACCCGAGAAAAAAACUGAUUCAAAUGUUCUCCUCAGAUAGUCACUUAACAAAGUCUUUGGCAUUUGCCCAGUACUGGGAGUGGUCAAAGUAGGUUCUUUACUUCACUCUUAACAUGAAAUCAAAAUAUUUUUGAAAUCAGUCCUUGGGGUCCGGAGAAAACCCGGUUCUAAUAUUCCACAUGAACAGUCGCUUUACAAAGCCUGUCUUAUUUACCCAGUAGUGGGAGUGAUUGAAAUAGGUUCCUUAAUUCACUUUUAACAUGAAAUUAAAAUAUUUUUGAAAUCGGUCAAAGGAGACCCGAGAAAAAAAACCGAUUCAAAUGUUCUCCUCAGAUAGUCACUUAACAAAGUCUUUGGCAUUUGCCCAGUAGUGGGAGUGGUCAAAGUAGGUUCUUUACUUCACUCUUAACAUGAAAUCAAAAUAUUUUUGAAAUCAGUCCUUGGGGUCCGGAGAAAACCCGGUUCUAAUAUUCCACAUGAACAGUCGCUUUACAAAGCCUGUCUUAUUUACCCAGUAGUGGGAGUGAUUGAAAUAGGUUCCUUACUUCACUCUUAACAUGAAAUCAAAAUAUUUUUGAAAUCAGUCCUUGGGGUCCGGAGAAAACCCGGUUCUAAUAUUCCACAUGAACAGUCGCUUUACAAAGCCUGUCUUAUUUACCCAGUAGUGGGAGUGAUUGAAAUAGGUUCCUUAAUUCACUUUUAACAUGAAAUUAAAAUAUUUUUGAAAUCGGUCAAAGGAGACCCGAGAAAAAAACUGAUUCAAAUGUUCUCCUCAGAUAGUCACUUAACAAAGUCUUUGGCAUUUGCCCAGUACUGGGAGUGGUCAAAGUAGGUUCUUUACUUCACUCUUAACAUGAAAUCAAAAUAUUUUUGAAAUCAGUCCUUGGGGUCCGGAGAAAACCCGGUUCUAAUAUUCCACAUGAACAGUCGCUUUACAAAGCCUGUCUUAUUUACCCAGUAGUGGGAGUGAUUGAAAUAGGUUCCUUAAUUCACUUUUAACAUGAAAUUAAAAUAUUUUUGAAAUCAGUCAAAGGAGACCCGAGAAAAAAACUGAUUCAAAUGUUCUCCUCAGAUAGUCACUUAACAAAGCCUUUGGCAUUUGCCCAGUAGUGGGAGUGGUCAAAGUAGGUUCUUUACUUCACUCUUAACAUGAAAUCAAAAUAUUUUUGAAAUCAGUCCUUGGGGUCCGGAGAAAACCCGGUUCUAAUAUUCCACAUGAACAGUCGCUUUACAAAGCCUGACUUAUUUGCCCAGGAGUGGGAGUGAUUGAAGUAGGUUCCUUACUUCACUUUUAACAUGAAAUUAAAAUAUUUUUGAAAUCGGUCCCAGGGGUCCCGAGAAAAACCGUUUCAAAUGUUCUCCUUAGAUAGUCACUUAACAAAGUCUUUGGCAUUUGCCCAGUACUGGGAGUGGUCAAAGUAGGUUCUUUACUUCACUCUUAACAUGAAAUCAAAAUAUUUUUGAAAUCAGUCCUUGGGGUCCGGAGAAAACCCGGUUCUAAUAUUCCACAUGAACAGUCGCUUUACAAAGCCUGUCUUAUUUACCCAGUAGUGGGAGUGAUUGAAAUAGGUUCCUUAAUUCACUUUUAACAUGAAAUUAAAAUAUUUUUGAAAUCAGUCAAAGGAGACCCGAGAAAAAAACUGAUUCAAAUGUUCUCCUCAGAUAGUCACUUAACAAAGCCUUUGGCAUUUGCCCAGUAGUGGCAGUGGUCAAAGUAGGUUCUUUACUUCACUCUUAACAUGAAAUCAAAAUAUUUUUGAAAUCAGUCCUUGGGGUCCGGAGAAAACCCGGUUCUAAUAUUCCACAUGAACAGUCGCUUUACAAAGCCUGUCUUAUUUACCCAGUAGUGGGAGUGAUUGAAAUAGGUUCCUUAAUUCACUUUUAACAUGAAAUUAAAAUAUUUUUGAAAUCGGUCAAAGGAGACCCGAGAAAAAAAACCGAUUCAAAUGUUCUCCUCAGAUAGUCACUUAACAAAGUCUUUGGCAUUUGCCCAGUACUGGGAGUGGUCAAAGUAGGUUCUUUACUUCACUCUUAACAUGAAAUCCAAAUAUUUUUGAAAUCGGUCCCUGGGGUCCGGAGAAAAACCGGUUCUAAUAUUCCACAUGAACAGUUGCUUAACAAAGCCUGUCUUAUUUACCCAGUAGUGGGAGUGAUUGAAAUAGGUUCCUUACUUCACUUUUAACAUGAAAUUAAAAUAUUUUUGAAAUCAGUCCCAGGGGUCCCGAGAAAAACCGAUUCAAAUGUUGUCCUUAGAUAGUCACUUAACAAAGUCUUUGGCAUUUGCCCAGUAGUGGGAGUGGUCAAAAUAGGUUCUUUACUUCACUCUUAACAUGAAAUCCAAAUAUUUUUGAAAUCGGCCCCUGGGGUCCGGAGAAAAACCGGUUCUAAUAUUCCACAUGAACAGUCGCUUUACAAUGCCUGUCUUAUUUACCCAGUAGUGGGAGUGAUUGAAAUAGGUUCCUUAAUUCACUUUUAACAUGAAAUUAAAAUAUUUUUGAAAUCGGUCAAAGGAGACCCGAGAAAAAAACUGAUUCAAAUGUUCUCCUCAGAUAGUCACUUAACAAAGUCUUUGGCAUUUGCCCAGUACUGGGAGUGGUCAAAGUAGGUUCUUUACUUCACUCUUAACAUGAAAUCAAAAUAUUUUUGAAAUCAGUCCUUGGGGUCCGGAGAAAACCCGGUUCUAAUAUUCCACAUGAACAGUCGCUUUACAAAGCCUGUCUUAUUUACCCAGUAGUGGGAGUGAUUGAAAUAGGUUCCUUAAUUCACUUUUAACAUGAAAUUAAAAUAUUUUUGAAAUCGGUCAAAGGAGACCCGAGAAAAAAACUGAUUCAAAUGUUCUCCUCAGAUAGUCACUUAACAAAGUCUUUGGCAUUUGCCCAGUACUGGGAGUGGUCAAAGUAGGUUCUUUACUUCACUCUUAACAUGAAAUCAAAAUAUUUUUGAAAUCAGUCCUUGGGGUCCGGAGAAAACCCGGUUCUAAUAUUCCACAUGAACAGUCGCUUUACAAAGCCUGUCUUAUUUACCCAGUAGUGGGAGUGAUUGAAAUAGGUUCCUUAAUUCACUUUUAACAUGAAAUUAAAAUAUUUUUGAAAUCGGUCAAAGGAGACCCGAGAAAAAAAACCGAUUCAAAUGUUCUCCUCAGAGAGUCACUUAACAAAGUCUUUGGCAUUUGCCCAGUACUGGGAGUGGUCAAAGUAGGUUCUUUACUUCACUCUUAACAUGAAAUCAAAAUAUUUUUGAAAUCAGUCCUUGGGGUCCGGAGAAAACCCGGUUCUAAUAUUCCACAUGAACAGUCGCUUUACAAAGCCUGACUUAUUUGCCCAGGAGUGGGAGUGAUUGAAGUAGGUUCCUUACUUCACUUUUAACAUGAAAUUAAAAUAUUUUUGAAAUCGGUCCCAGGGGUCCCGAGAAAAACCGAUUCAAAUGUUCUCCUUAGAUAGUCACUUAACAAAGUCUUUGGCAUUUGCCCAGUACUGGGAGUGGUCAAAAUAGGUUCUUUACUUCACUCUUAACAUGAAAUCAAAAUAUUUUUGAAAUCGGUCCUUGGGGUCCAGAGAAAAACCGGUUCUAAUAUUCCACAUGAACAGUCGCUUUACAAAGCCUGACUUAUUUGCCCAGGAGUGGGAGUGAUUGAAGUAGGUUCCUUACUUCACUUUUAACAUGAAAUUAAAAUAUUUUUGAAAUCGGUCCCAGGGGUCCCGAGAAAAACCGAUUCAAAUGUUCUCCUUAGAUAGUCACUUAACAAAGUCUUUGGCAUUUGCCCAGUACUGGGAGUGGUCAAAAUAGGUUCUUUACUUCACUCUUAACAUGAAAUCCAAAUAUUUUUGAAAUCGGUCCUUGGGGUCCAGAGAAAAACCGGUUCUAAUAUUCCACAUGAACAGUCGCUUUACAAAGCCUGUCUUAUUUACCCAGUAGUGGGAGUGAUUGAAAUAGGUUCCUUAAUUCACUUUUAACAUGAAAUUAAAAUAUUUUUGAAAUCGGUCAAAGGAGACCCGAGAAAAAAACUGAUUCAAAUGUUCUCCUCAGAUAGUCACUUAACAAAGUCUUUGGCAUUUGCCCAGUACUGGGAGUGGUCAAAGUAGGUUCUUUACUUCACUCUUAACAUGAAAUCAAAAUAUUUUUGAAAUCAGUCCUUGGGGUCCGGAGAAAACCCGGUUCUAAUAUUCCACAUGAACAGUCGCUUUACAAAGCCUGUCUUAUUUACCCAGUAGUGGGAGUGAUUGAAAUAGGUUCCUUAAUUCACUUUUAACAUGAAAUUAAAAUAUUUUUGAAAUCGGUCAAAGGAGACCCGAGAAAAAAACUGAUUCAAAUGUUCUCCUCAUAUAGUCACUUAACAAAGUCUUUGGCAUUUGCCCAGUACUGGGAGUGGUCAAAGUAGGUUCUUUACUUCACUCUUAACAUGAAAUCAAAAUAUUUUUGAAAUCAGUCCUUGGGGUCCGGAGAAAACCCGGUUCUAAUAUUCCACAUGAACAGUCGCUUUACAAAGCCUGUCUUAUUUACCCAGUAGUGGGAGUGAUUGAAAUAGGUUCCUUAAUUCACUUUUAACAUGAAAUUAAAAUAUUUUUGAAAUCAGUCAAAGGAGACCCGAGAAAAAAACUGAUUCAAAUGUUCUCCUCAGAUAGUCACUUAACAAAGCCUUUGGCAUUUGCCCAGUAGUGGCAGUGGUCAAAGUAGGUUCUUUACUUCACUCUUAACAUGAAAUCAAAAUAUUUUUGAAAUCAGUCCUUGGGGUCCGGAGAAAACCCGGUUCUAAUAUUCCACAUGAACAGUCGCUUUACAAAGCCUGUCUUAUUUACCCAGUAGUGGGAGUGAUUGAAAUAGGUUCCUUAAUUCACUUUUAACAUGAAAUUAAAAUAUUUUUGAAAUCGGUCAAAGGAGACCCGAGAAAAAAACUGAUUCAAAUGUUCUCCUCAGAUAGUCACUUAACAAAGCCUUUGGCAUUUGCCCAGUAGUGGCAGUGGUCAAAGUAGGUUCUUUACUUCACUCUUAACAUGAAAUCAAAAUAUUUUUGAAAUCAGUCCUUGGGGUCCGGAGAAAACCCGGUUCUAAUAUUCCACAUGAACAGUCGCUUUACAAAGCCUGUCUUAUUUACCCAGUAGUGGGAGUGAUUGAAAUAGGUUCCUUAAUUCACUUUUAACAUGAAAUUAAAAUAUUUUUGAAAUCGGUCAAAGGAGACCCGAGAAAAAAACUGAUUCAAAUGUUCUCCUCAGAUAGUCACUUAACAAAGUCUUUGGCAUUUGCCCAGUACUGGGAGUGGUCAAAGUAGGUUCUUUACUUCACCCUUAACAUGAAAUCAAAAUAUUUUUGAAAUCAGUCCUUGGGGUCCGGAGAAAACCCGGUUCUAAUAUUCCACAUGAACAGUCGCUUUACAAAGCCUGUCUUAUUUACCCAGUAGUGGGAGUGAUUGAAAUAGGUUCCUUACUUCACUUUUAACAUGAAAUUAAAAUAUUUUUGAAAUCAGUCCCAGGGGUCCCGAGAAAAACCGAUUCAAAUGUUGUCCUUAGAUAGUCACUUAACAAAGUCUUUGGCAUUUGCCCAGUAGUGGGAGUGGUCAAAGUAGGUUCUUUACUUCACUCUUAACAUGAAAUCCAAAUAUUUUUGAAAUCGGCCCCUGGGGUCCGGAGAAAAACCGGUUCUAAUAUUCCACAUGAACAGUCGCUUUACAAAGCCUGUCUUAUUUACCCAGUAGUGGGAGUGAUUGAAAUAGGUUCCUUAAUUCACUUUUAACAUGAAAGUAAAAUAUUUUUGAAAUCGGUCAAAGGAGACCCGAGAAAAAAACUGAUUCAAAUGUUCUCCUCAGAUAGUCACUUAACAAAGUCUUUGGCAUUUGCCCAGUACUGGGAGUGGUCAAAGUAGGUUCUUUACUUCACUCUUAACAUGAAAUCAAAAUAUUUUUGAAAUCAGUCCUUGGGGUCCGGAGAAAACCCGGUUCUAAUAUUCCACAUGAACAGUCGCUUUACAAAGCCUGUCUUAUUUACCCAGUAGUGGGAGUGAUUGAAAUAGGUUCCUUAAUUCACUUUUAACAUGAAAUUAAAAUAUUUUUGAAAUCGGUCAAAGGAGACCCGAGAAAAAAACUGAUUCAAAUGUUCUCCUCAGAUAGUCACUUAACAAAGUCUUUGGCAUUUGCCCAGUACUGGGAGUGGUCAAAGUAGGUUCUUUACUUCACUCUUAACAUGAAAUCAAAAUAUUUUUGAAAUCAGUCCUUGGGGUCCGGAGAAAACCCGGUUCUAAUAUUCCACAUGAACAGUCGCUUUACAAAGCCUGACUUAUUUGCCCAGGAGUGGGAGUGAUUGAAGUAGGUUCCUUACUUCACUUUUAACAUGAAAUUAAAAUAUUUUUGAAAUCGGUCCCAGGGGUCCCGAGAAAAACCGAUUCAAAUGUUCUCCUUAGAUAGUCACUUAACAAAGUCUUUGGCAUUUGCCCAGUACUGGGAGUGGUCAAAAUAGGUUCUUUACUUCACUCUUAACAUGAAAUCCAAAUAUUUUUGAAAUCGGUCCUUGGGGUCCAGAGAAAAACCGGUUCUAAUAUUCCACAUGAACAGUCGCUUUACAAAGCCUGACUUAUUUGCCCAGGAGUGGGAGUGAUUGAAGUAGGUUCCUUACUUCACUUUUAACAUGAAAUUAAAAUAUUUUUGAAAUCGGUUCCAGGGGUCCCGAGAAAAACCGAUUCAAAUGUUCUCCUUAGAUAGUCACUUAACAAAGUCUUUGGCAUUUGCCCAGUACUGGGAGUGGUCAAAGUAGGUUCUUUACUUCACUCUUAACAUGAAAUCCAAAUAUUUUUGAAAUCGGUCCUUGGGGUCCAGAGAAAAACCGGUUCUAAUAUUCCACAUGAACAGUCGCUUUACAAAGCCUGUCUUAUUUACCCAGUAGUGGGAGUGAUUGAAAUAGGUUCCUUAAUUCACUUUUAACGUGAAAUUAAAAUAUUUUUGAAAUCGGUCAAAGGAGACCCGAGAAAAAAAACCGAUUCAAAUGUUCUCCUCAGAUAGUCACUUAACAAAGUCUUUGGCAUUUGCCCAGUACUGAGAGUGGUCAAAGUAGGUUCUUUACUUCACUCUUAACAUGAAAUCAAAAUAUUUUUGAAAUCAGUCCUUGGGGUCCGGAGAAAACCCGGUUCUAAUAUUCCACAUGAACAGUCGCUUUACAAAGCCUGACUUAUUUGCCCAGGAGUGGGAGUGAUUGAAGUAGGUUCCUUACUUCACUUUUAACAUGAAAUUAAAAUAUUUUUGAAAUCGGUCAAAGGAGACCCGAGAAAAAAACCGAUUCAAAUGUUCUCCUCAGAUAGUCACUUAACAAAGUCUUUGGCAUUUGCCCAGUAGUGGGAGUGGUCAAAGUAGGUUCUUUACUUCACUCUUAACAUGAAAUCAAAAUAUUUUUGAAAUCAGUCCUUGGGGUCCGGAGAAAACCCGGUUCUAAUAUUCCACAUGAACAGUCGCUUUACAAAGCCUGACUUAUUUGCCCAGGAGUGGGAGUGAUUGAAGUAGGUUCCUUACUUCACUUUUAACAUGAAAUUAAAAUAUUUUUGAAAUCGGUCCCAGGGGUCCCGAGAAAAACCGUUUCAAAUGUUCUCCUUAGAUAGUCACUUAACAAAGUCUUUGGCAUUUGCCCAGUAGUGGGAGUGGUCAAAAUAGGUUCUUUACUUCACUCUUAACAUGAAAUCCAAAUAUUUUUGAAAUCGGUCCCUGGGGUCCGGAGAAAAACCGGUUCUAAUAUUCCACAUGAACAGUCGCUUUACAAAGCCUGUCUUAUUUACCCAGUAGUGGGAGUGUUU
rnacentral:lncRNA from 1 species